UACGGAGGAUGCAAGCGUUAUCCGGAAUCAUUGGGUUUAAAGGGUCCGCAGGCGGGCUGUUAAGUCAGUGGUGAAAUACCCCGGCUCAACCGGGGAGGUGCCAUUGAUACUGACAGUCUUGAAUGCAUAAGAAGUAAUUAGAAUGUGUAGUGUAGCGGUGAAAUGCAUAGAGAUUACACAGAAUACCAAUUGCGAAGGCAGAUUACUAUUAUUGCAUUGACGCUGAUGGACGAAAGCGUGGGGAGCGAACAGG
rnacentral:rRNA from 1 species